rnacentral:rRNA from 1 species
UACGUAGGGUGCGAGCGUUAAUCGGAAUUACUGGGCGUAAAGCGUGCGCAGGCGGUUUUGUAAGCCAGAUGUGAAAUCCCCGGGCUUAACCUGGGAAUGGCAUUUGGGACUGCAAGGCUGGAGUGUGGCAGAGGAGACUGGAAUUCCCGGUGUAGCAGUGAAAUGCGUAGAUAUCGUAAGGAAGACCAGUGGCGAAGGCGAGUCUCUGGACAGUUACUGACACUGAGGCACGAAGGCCAGGGGAGCAAACGGG